GACGAACGCUGGCGGCGUGCUUAACACAUGCAAGUCGAACGGAAAGGCCCUGCUUUUGUGGGGUGCUCGAGUGGCGAACGGGUGAGUAACACGGGAGUAACCUGCCCUGGACUUUGGGAUAACUUCAGGAAAAUGGGGCUAAUACCGGAUAGGAGCUCCUGCUGCAUGGUGGGGGUUGGAAAGGUUGGGCGGUUGGGGCUGGACUCGCGGCUUAUCAGCGUGUUGGGGGGGUAGUGGCUUACCAAGGCUUUGACGGGUAGCCGGCCUUAGAGGGUGACCGGCCACAUUGGGACUGAGAUACGGCCCAGACUCCUACGGGAGGCAGCAGUGGGGAAUAUUGCACAAUGGGCGGAAGCCUGAUGCAGCGACGCCGCGUGCGUAAUGACGGCCUUCGGGUUGUAAACCGCUUUCGCCUGUGACGAAGCGUGCGUGACGGUAAUGGGUAAGGAAGCACCGGCUAACUACGUG
rnacentral:rRNA from 1 species